rnacentral:rRNA from 1 species
GUGCAGCAGUCGCGAAAUAGUCUACAAUGGACGAAAGUCUGAUAGUGCGACGCCGUGUGUGCGAUUAAUUCCUUCGGGAUGUAAAGCACUUUUCUAUGAGAUAAAAGCUCUUUAGGUUAAUAGCUUAUUGAGACGGAUAUUAUUAUAGGAAUAAGCUCCGGCUAACUCCGUGCCAGCAGCCGCGGUAAUACGGAAGGAGCGAGCGUUGUCCGGAUUUACUAGGCGUAAAGGGCUAGUAGGCGACUAAUUAAGUUAUAUGUUAAAUCCCACGGCUCAACUGUGGUCCUGCAUGUAAUACUGGUUAGAUAGAGUACUGUAGAGGAAGGCAGAAUUCCUGGAGUAGCGGUGGAAUGCGCAGAUAUCAGGAAGAAUACCAAAAGCGAAGGCAGCCUUCUGGGCAGUUACUGUACGCUGAAUAGCGAAGGUGUGGGUAGCGAACAGGAUUAGAUA